rnacentral:piRNA from 1 species
UCGAUAUAACUGAACUUCAAA